CCUGCCCCGCCGGAGCUACAGUCUACCGCGCCGCUUGUGCGGUUUCCCGCGUGCCGGGGAGUUUGGACCGUCCAGCCUGCGAUCCGCGCAGGGACACUUACUGAGCGCUGACCCUGGCCCAGCCCUGUUUCAGCAGGGGCGACGGUGGUGGCAGGUGGCAGGCCCAGCGGCCGCUGCUUUCGGAGGUGGACAGCCGCUCAGGGAGACAAUCGGACCCUUCGUGGAGACAGUGUCCCAGUCCCCAGAGGGAUAGAGCCAUGUCCCUCCUAUUCAUCUUCCCACCCAACCUAAUUCUGGGCGCUACCUGCUUGUCUUGAGCACUCUCCUCAGACACCAGCUCCUUCUCUGUGCAUAAGGGUGCAGCCCCGGAAGCCUUCCUGGAGGCAGUAGCCUCCACACCUGCAGAUUAAGGAGGAGCCCGCCCGCU